rnacentral:rRNA from 1 species
AGUGAACGCUGGCGGUAGGCCUAACACAUGCAAGUCGAACGGCAGCACAGUAAGAGCUUGCUCUUACGGGUGGCGAGUGGCGGACGGGUGAGGAAUACAUCGGAAUCUACUUUUUCGUGGGGGAUAACGUAGGGAAACUUACGCUAAUACCGCAUACGACCUACGGGUGAAAGCAGGGGAUCUUCGGACCUUGCGCGAUUGAAUGAGCCGAUGUCGGAUUAGCUAGUUGGCGGGGUAAAGGCCCACCAAGGCGACGAUCCGUAGCUGGUCUGAGAGGAUGGUCAGCCACACUGGAACUGAGACACGGUCCAGACUCCUACGGGAGGCAGCAGUGGGGAAUAUUGGACAAGGGGGGCAAGCCUGAUCCAGCCAUACCGCGUGGGUGAAGAAGGCCUUCGGGUUGUAAAGCCCUUUUGUUGGGAAAGAAAAGCAGCAGGUUAAUACCCCGCUGUUCUGACGGUACCCAAAGAAUAAGCUCCGGCUAACUUCGUG